UUCAGAGGUCCCGAGCGUUGUUCGGAUUUAUUGGGCGUAAAGGGUGCGUAGGUGGCAAAGUAAGUUGGAUGUGAAAUCCUGGGGCUUAACCUCAGAAUUGCAUUCAAUACUGCUUAGCUAGAGAGCUGUAGAGGAGACUGGAAUUUACGGUGUAGCAGUGAAAUGCGUAGAUAUCGUAAGGAACGCCAGUGGCGAAAGCGAGUCUCUGGGCAGCAUCUGACACUGAGGCACGAAGGCCAGGGGAGCAAACGGG
rnacentral:rRNA from 1 species